rnacentral:rRNA from 1 species
AGUUUGAUCCUGGCUCAGGAUGAACGCUAGCGGCAGGCUUAAUACAUGCAAGUCGUGGGGCAGCAUGAGUAGCAAUACUUGAUGGCGACCGGCAAACGGGUGAGGAACACGUACACAACCUUCCUUCAAGCGGGGAAUAGCCCAGAGAAAUUUGGAUUAAUACCCCAUAAUAUAUUUGAUAAGGCAUCUUAUUAAUAUUAAAGCUUCGGCACUUGAUGAUGGGUGUGCGGCUGAUUAGAUAGUUGGCGGGGUAACGGCCCACCAAGUCUACGAUCAGUAGCUGAUGUGAGAGCAUGAUCAGCCACACGGGCACUGAGACACGGGCCCGACUCCUACGGGAGGCAGCAGUAAGGAAUAUUGGACAAUGGACGAAAGUCUGAUCCAGCCAUGCCGCGUGAAGGAUUAAGGUCCUCUGGAUUGUAAACUUCUUUUAUAUGGGACGAAAAAAGGGCAUUCUUGUUCACUUGACGGUACCAUAUGAAUAAGCACCGGCUAACUCCGUGCCAGCAGCCGCGGUAAUACGGAGGGUGCAAGCGUUAUCCGGAUUCACUGGGUUUAAAGGGUGCGUAGGUGGGUUGGUAAGUCAGUGGUGAAAUCUCCGAGCUUAACUCGGAAACUGCCAUUGAUACUAUCUAUCUUGAAUAUCCUGGAGGUAAGCGGAAUAUGUCAUGUAGCGGUGAAAUGCUUAGAUAUGACAUAGAACACCAAUUGCGAAGGCAGCUCACUACGCGGUUAUUGACACUGAGGCACGAAAGCGUGGGGAUCAAACAGGAUUAGAUACCCUGGUAGUCCACGCCCUAAACGAUGAUUACUCGACAUACGCGAUACACUGUGUGUGUCUGAGCGAAAGCAUUAAGUAAUCCACCUGGGAAGUACGUCCGCAAGGAUGAAACUCAAAGGAAUUGGCGGGGGUCCG